rnacentral:rRNA from 1 species
UACGUAGGGGGCAAGCGUUGUCCGGAAUUAUUGGGCGUAAAGGGCACGCAGGCGGUUUACUAAGUCUGAUGUGGAAGCCCACCGCUCAACCGUGGAGGGUCAUUGGAAACUGGGAAACUUGAGUGCAGGAGAGGAGGGCGGAAUUUCACGUGUAGCGGUGAAAUGCGUAGAGAUGUGGAGGAACACCAGUGGCGAAGGCGGCGCUCUGGCCUGAUACUGACGCUGAGGUGCGAAAGCGUGGGGAGCGAACAGG